rnacentral:rRNA from 1 species
UACGUAGGGGGCAAGCGUUGUCCGGAUUUAUUGGGCGUAAAGAGCGUGUAGGCGGCCAAGCAGGUCCGCUGUGAAAACUCGAGGCUCAACCUCGAGACGUCGGUGGAAACCGUUUGGCUAGAGUCCGGAAGAGGAGAGUGGAAUUCCCGGUGUAGCGGUGAAAUGCGCAGAUAUCGGGAAGAACACCCGUGGCGAAGGCGGCUCUCUGGGACGUGACUGACGCUGAGACGCGAAAGCGUGGGGAGCAAACAGG